AAAUGCUUCUUUUCUUAAGGACAAGCUGUGAUGGGGAGGGAAAUAAUAGUACCGAAGUUCCUGAUGUCACACUGCCGAGAAAAGCUUCUAGUGAGAAAACAGCGGCCCGUACCGCAAACCGACACAGGUAGUCGAGGAGAGAAUCCUAAGGUGAGCGAGAGAACUCUCGUUAAGGAACUCGGCAAAAUGACCCCGUAACUUCGGGAGAAGGGGUGCUGAUCAUACGAUCAGCCGCAGUGAAUAGGCCCAAGCGACUGUUUAUCAAAAACACAGGUCUCUGCAAAAUCGUAAGAUGAAGUAUAGGGGCUGACGCCUGCCCGGUGCUGGAAGGUUAAGAGGAGUGCUUAGCGCAAGCGAAGGUACGAAUUGAAGCCCCAGUAAACGGCGGCCGUAACUAUAACGGUCCUAAGGUAGCGAAAUUCCUUGUCGGGUAAGUUCCGACCCGCACGAAAGGCGUAACGAUUUGGGCACUGUCUCAACGAGAGACUCGGUGAAAUUUUAGUACCUGUGAAGAUGCAGGUUACCCGCGACAGGACGGAAAGACCCCAUGGAGCUUUACUGUAGUUUGAUAUUGAGUGUCUGUACCGCAUGUACAGGAUAGGUAGGAGCCGUAGAAAUCGGAACGCUAGUUUCGAUGGAGGCGCUGGUGGGAUACUACCCCUGCGUUAUGGCCACUCUAACCCGCACCACUAAUCGUGGUGGGAGACAGUGUCAGAUGGGCAGUUUGAC
rnacentral:rRNA from 1 species